GGAAUAUUGGGCAAUGGGCGCAAGCCUGACCCAGCAACGCCGCGUGAGUGAAGAAGGCCUUCGGGUUGUAAAGCUCUGUUAUAGUUGACGAAGGAAGUGACGGUAGGCUAUAAGGAAGCCCCGGCUAACUACGUGCCAGCAGCCGCGGUAAUACGUAGGGGGCGAGCGUUGUCCGGAAUGACUGGGCGUAAAGGGCGUGUAGGCGGUCUGAUAAGUCUGGAGUGAAAGUCCUGUUUUUAAGGUGGGAAUUGCUUUGGAUACUGUCGGACUUGAGUGCGGAAGAGGUAAGUGGAAUUCCCAGUGUAGCGGUGAAAUGCGUAGAGAUUGGGAGGAACACCAGUGGCGAAGGCGACUUACUGGGCCGUAACUGACGCUGAGGCGCGAAAGCGUGGGGAGCGAACA
rnacentral:rRNA from 1 species